AUGAAUCUCUUGGCCUGGAACUGUCAAGGCUUGGGUUUGGACUCGAUAGUUGGCGAACUACGGGACCUCAUACGGUCAUACAACCCAGCGGUGGUCUUUCUUUCGGACACUUUAAAGAAAUCUGAACCGAUGAAUAAACUCAAGUGGAGUCUAGGGUUCCGACAAGGAGUAGCAUUUAAUUGCGAAGGAAGGAGUGGAGGUCUGGCUCUAUGGUCGAGGGAUGAUGUGCAAGUUACGGUGAGAUCGUGGAGCCAAUAUUUCAUUGAUGCGGAGGUGAACUUUGACGGCAAAACUUUUAGAUUUACUAGUAUCUAUGGGGAACCACAGACAGAUCUUAGGAAGAAAACUUGGGAUGCACUGGCAUACCUAAGGAGACAAGACAAUCUACCCUGGCUGUGUGCCGGCGAUUUUAAUGAGGCAUUAACCCAGGCAGAACAGCUAGGAGGAAACACUAGGAAUCUGAAGCAGAUGGAGGACUUCAAAGAUUGUCUUGACAUGUGCGCACCGGCGGACAUGGGCUUCUCUAGCUAUCCAUUCACGUGGGAUAACAAAUGA
rnacentral:rRNA from 1 species